rnacentral:rRNA from 1 species
CCAUGCCGCGUGAAGGAUGAUGCCUACGGGUUGUAACUUCUUUUGUACGGGACGAAACUUCCGAUCGUGAUCGGAACUGACUGUACCGUUCGAAUAAGCAUCGGCUAACUCCGUGCCAGCAGCCGCGGUAAUACGGAGGAUGCAAGCGUUAUCCGGAUUCAUUGGGUUUAAAGGGUGCGUAGGCGGAAUAGUAAGUCAGUGGUGAAAGCCUGCGGCUUAACCGUAGAAUUGCCAUUGAUACUGUUAUUCUUGAGUAUAGUUGAGGUGGGCGGAAUG